rnacentral:rRNA from 1 species
GAUGAACGCUGGCGGCGUGCCUAAUACAUGCAAGUCGAGCGAACAGACGAGGAGCUUGCUCCUCUGACGUUAGCGGCGGACGGGUGAGUAACACGUGGAUAACCUACCUAUAAGACUGGGAUAACUUCGGGAAACCGGAGCUAAUACCGGAUAAUAUAUUGAACCGCAUGGUUCAAUAGUGAAAGACGGUUUUGCUGUCACUUAUAGAUGGAUCCGCGCCGCAUUAGCUAGUUGGUAAGGUAACGGCUUACCAAGGCAACGAGGCGUAGCCGACGUGAGAGACUGAUCGGCCACACUGGAAGUGAGACACGGUCCAGACUCCUACGGGAGGCAGCAGUAGGGAAUCUUCCGCAAUGGGCGAAAGCUUGACGGAGCAACGCCGCGUGAGUGAUGAAGGUCUUCGGAUCGUAAAGCUCUGUUAUUAGGGAAGAACAAAUGUGUAAGUAACUAUGCACGUCUUGACGGUACCUAAUCAGAAAGCCACGGCUAACUACGUG